CGCUGUUGGCCCUGAAGGAAGUGGAGG
rnacentral:piRNA from 1 species